rnacentral:rRNA from 1 species
AUUGAACGCUGGCGGCGUGCUUAACACAUGCAAGUCGAUCGGUAACAGGUGUAGCAAUACAUGCUGACGAGAGGCGGACGGGUGAGUAAUGCUUGGGAAUCUGCCUAUUAGUGGGGGACAACCCGGGGAAACUCGGGCUAAUACCGCAUACGCUCUACGGGGGAAAGGCCGGGACCGCAAGGCCUGGCGCUAAUAGAUGAGCCCAAGUCGGAUUAGCUAGUUGGUAGGGUAACGGCCACCAAGGCGACAAUCCGUAGCUGGUCUGAGAGGACGACCAGCCACACCGGAACUGAGACACGGUCCGGACUCCUACGGGAGGCAGCAGU